rnacentral:sRNA from 1 species
UAACAUAGGGCACUUUAAUCAAAUAUG